GGGAAUGUGGCUUAGUGGUAGAGUGCUUGCCUAGCAUGCAUGAAGCCCUGGGUUCGAUUCCUCAGGACCA
rnacentral:tRNA from 1 species